rnacentral:rRNA from 1 species
AUUGAACGCGGGCGGCAUGCCUUACACAUGCAAGUCGAACGGCAGCACGGGAGCAAUCAUGGUGGCGAGUGGCGAACGGGUGAGUAAUACAUCGGAACGUGCCCAAUCGUGGGGGAUAACGUAGCGAAAGCUGUGCUAAUACCGCAUACGAUCUACGGAUGAAAGCAGGGGAUCGCAAGACCUUGCGCGAAUGGAGCGGCCGAUGGCAGAUUAGGUAGUUGGUGAGGUAAAGGCUCACCAAGCCGUCGAUCUGUAGCUGGUCUGAGAGGACGACCAGCCACACUGGGACUGAGACACGGCCCAGACUCCUACGGGAGGCAGCAGUGGGGAAUUUUGGACAAUGGGCGAAAGCCUGAUCCAGCCAUGCCGCGUGCAGGAUGAAGGCCUUCGGGUUGUAAACUGCUUUUGUACGGAACGAAACGGCCUUUUCUAAUAAAGAGGGCUAAUGACGGUACCGUAAGAAUAAGCACCGGCUAACUACGUGCCAGCAGCCGCGGUAAUACGUAGGGUGCAAGCGUUAAUCGGAAUUACUGGGCGUAAAGCGUGCGCAGGCGGUUAUGUAAGACAGUUGUGAAAUCCCCGGGCUCAACCUGGGAACUGCAUCUGUGACUGCAUAGCUAGAGUACGGUAGAGGGGGAUGGAAUUCCGCGUGUAGCAGUGAAAUGCGUAGAUAUGCGGAGGAACACCGAUGGCGAAGGCAAUCCCCCGGACCUGUACUGACGCUCAUGCACGAAAGCGUGGGGAGCAAACAGG